rnacentral:tRNA from 1 species
GCCCCGGUAGCUCAGCCUGGUGGAGCGCCUCACUGGUAAAAGCCUCCGGGCUACCGGAUGAGGAGGUCCCGGGUUCAGGCAUUGCCG